CCAUUUUAUCUCUAAUAAAUAAAUAAGGUUUAAAAUCGAAAUGCGGAAACCAGACUAACCUUUCGCCCUCAGCGCAUUCUUAAUUUUUUUUGCAAACAGACACCACUCGAAUAUCUUGGCAGUUUUUAUACCUUUUUUGUUUUUUACUGAACCUCUGCACGCCGUGUGCGCGCCAGGUAACUAACAAAUGGAAGUUAAAAGGCGAGACAGCGGGCGUAAUCUUUGCCAUUCUAGUGAAGUCAAAAGCUCCCUUUUUGUUUCUUCAAUAUCUAUGGAUUAUUCGUUGCUUGGCUAAGCUAGGUAUUUUCCAAUUAAAUUGGGGGAGAAAAAAUAUAUAUUUUAAUUUCCAUUAACACCGCGACUAUUAUUGGUUACGUGAAGUAAGCUCGUUUUAAACAGGUGUUGAUUACAGGUAAUGCAUUAUUAACUAUUAUUUAAAAUCUGUUCGACAAUCAUGAGUUUUAAUUUGGGAGGGAUGUGUGGUUUUAAUCAUUUCAACAGGAUUGCUUACUUAGCCGUGGCAACGAAAUUUCAGCCCGAAUAGUUAACUUUUUCUGUAGCGAUCCCCCUCAAGCCGAUUACAUUGACGUUCUUGAAUAUUGUUCUAAUAGAGGUACAGGGUUUGCAACUACAACAGUUCACGUGCAUUUAAUUGUUUUAACUUCACCUGUGUCAAGUGCACGAAAUUAAAAUAGAGUUAAAAUUGAUGCAGUGGGGACGAAAAUUUACAAUGAUGAGUAUCUCUUACUAUAAUGUAAACGAAAAAAAGAAUAUAUAUCGCAAACGUUUAUAUUGUCGCGGGUUGAAAUUUUGCAGGGUUGUUGAAAUCAAAUUUAGGGACUUUACUGACGGGACUCUGGGCUGGCUGCUCUGUUCACUCGUCAGCGCAAGUGGCGUGACCAUGUAAUUGGGGCACGGGGCCGGCGCGGCGCGCUGCGGGCUUGCAGAAUUUUGUUUGUUUGUUUGGCCGCGCGCUGGCGCAGCCACGGGCCGCAGUUACUGGGGCGCGCUGUCGUAACAAGCCGCGCGGUGUGGCCUGCACAUUGGGGUAGAGGGGGGGUAGUCUUCCCAGGUGUUCUAGUUAGUUGUUUAGUAAAUUUGACUUCAAUAACGAGCUUUUGUUAUGGUAGGCGCGGCAGGGCGCGCGAAUUUAAGCGCAAGUGAUUGGUGACUCGGGGCUCACUCAGGCGGAGGCUAUGCGUCUCACCUGUGGUCACGAGUUGUUAGUUCGUUCGUGAUGUAGGAAUUCAGGCUCACUCAGGCGGAGGCUAUGCGUCUCACCUGUGGUCACGAGUUGUUAGUUCGUUCGUGAUGUAGGAAUUCAGGCUCACUCAGGCGGAGGCUAUGCGUCUCACCUGUGGUCACGAGUUGUUAGUUCGUUCGUGAUGUAGGAAUUCAGGCUCACUCAGGCGGAGGCUAUGCGUCUCACCUGUGGUCACGAGUUGUUAGUUCGUUCGUGAUGUAGGAAUUCAAGCUUUCGGGCGGAAGCUAUGGCCGACGCCAGAGGCCACGAGUCGUUUAAUUUAAGUUAGGUCAUAAUGUAGUCGUCAAGCUUUCGGGCGGAGGCUAUGGCCCUCGUCAGGGGUCACGCGUCAUAGUUUUUAAAAUGUAAUGUUCGUUCGGGAUUUCAAGGGCAGGAGAGGCCCCUACGUUAUUUUUUUAAAGUAAUCGAUCAAGAAAGGCUUUUCGGAAAAUGUGAGUAUGGACUUAUCUUUGUUUUAAUUUUAAGUAUUAAUUAUGAUUUGAGGUAUUCGGAAGGACUAGGGAAGUGUUUAGUGAAGUUCUCUCAUUCUCUCUCUUGUAAGGUCGUUCAAUCGUUAAGGAAGUAAAGAGAUUAUUGUUUUAAAUUGUAAUCCCGCUAUUUAAAUGUUCUUUAAAAUGAUGUUGAGUAUUUGACUUUAAGAAUAAAAUAAUUUUAAUUAAGUAUUAUGUUAUUUUGCAAAAUCUCCUUAGUUCAGCUCUCACCAGACAUCCUGUACGGGAUGACGAACCUAUGAUCCUAGGUACAGUAAAGUAUUUUAUGAAGUUAAGACUAGUUGAUGCCAAGCGAGUUGUUUCUAUGUAAAGAGCUACGAUUCUCGCCCCCCCCCCUCUGAAGGUGGAUCGUGACAGAAAUGGCGGUGGCACCGGCUAGGUGCACGUGACAGAAAUGGUAGAGUUCGCCGGAUAGGUUCUAUUUCUGGAGAGAGAGAGGUAGAUUUUUAUGUUUAUUAUUAAGUUAGUUUCAGCUUCUGAUAGCAGGUUAUUAAGAGUUUACUUGAGGAGAGGAUUACGGAAUUUUAGUCUAUAGUGGAGGAAGUCUUUGAGAUUUUUUUUUUGACGUAACAGAUGUUUAUUUGAGGAUACUUGUAAGGAUAAAGUUUAUAGUGAUAAGUUGUUUUAAGUCGUUGAAUUUAUUGUAGAUUUAUAUCGGGGAUUAUUACGUGAGGAGAAUACGUUAUAAGUUAAAUGCUUAUUAGAGAUAAUGCAAGUGGUUUAAUUUAAUUGAAAUUAAUUUUAAGAUUGUAGGUUAAGAGAGUUAAAAUUUAAAAUAAAGUUUUUUUCGUAAAUAGGAAUUAUUUUCAAGUGAAGUUUGUUUUGUUUUCGUGCGCGUAGGAGACGAGACGUACGAAUUAAAUCAGUCGAGGGAAGGAUAAACGUUAGAAAGGAAUUAAAGAGAAAACGAGAGUUUAUGUAAAAGAGAGUUAUAGAAUUUAUAGUGAUGUUUUGUUUUAAUUAGAAAAAUGUUGAGAGUUGUUUCAGAAUGACACGUCAGUGGACGUGACGGGGAGGUGCUGAGACCUAGCGGAGAACGGAGGAACCGCAAGCGAGGGUUGGCGCACCUGAUGGAAUUCGGUGACGUCACGGGCUCAUACGGAGACGUGGACAGGCCGUGACCUUGUUUUGAUCAGCUGUACGGUAACUUAACGAUAAGAAAAUAGACUAUUGGUUAAAUAAAUUUAAAUUUAAGUGUGUUUUAGGAGAAGAGGAACUUUCAGUAUAUUCCUUAAGAUGAGCUGAGCAGCAGUCCAGUUUACAAGAUGACAAGAGUUCGAGAGACAAGAUACAAGAUCACUGAAACAAGAGCCAAGACUGAAGAUUCAAGAGAAGAGAAAGCUGGCAGCCAUGGACUUACAAGUGGAGAUUAAUAAGGUCAUGUAAAGUUUUAUUUUUUUUUAUGGAAGACAGUAACUGGAGUUUUUUUUUGUUAUAAACAUUAUUUACAGAACUUUUUAGGUUAUAGUAAUGUAAUGGAACUAGUGAGUUGUGGUAGCUGUCAAAAAGAACUAAUACCUUAAGUUUAAUUUUUAAAGUUAAUUUUCUUAAUUUACAGAGGGAUUAGUAGUUUUUUUUAAACCUUAUUUAGGUUGGAAUUUAAAUACAAUAGCUUAUUAUAAAUGUGUACGAACAGUUCAAGUUCACAGUACUGAUAGGUAGGUCAGAUGAUCUUAUUGAUUUUGAUGAUUUGUUGUUUUGAGUUGAUUUUUAAGUGUUGUGAAUUAGACAAUGAAAUAGUUCUGAAAACUUAAAUUAUUUCAAGCUAAGAAAUAGUAAAGUUAAUUGUAACUCAAAGGACACCAGAAUUUAAUUUUUUUUUGAAUUAGUAAUGUUUGAAAAUUUUAUACUUUACAAAAAAAGGUUAUAAACAAACAGAUCGGAUGGAACAAGGAUGCAGUAAAUCACAAUUUCAUUUAGAAUUAUUGAUUAGCUUUUGAGGUUAUGAAGUAAAAGUAAUUAUAGUUUAAAAGUUUGAAUAAAAAAAAAUGUUUUUUUUUUAUUUGUUUGAAAUAGAAAGUUUAAAAGUUAAUUAGUCAUGAUCUAGGUGGGUGAUGGGGUGGGAAUUGGCCACUCUUUUUCCCUAUAACCUCCCUAACAUGGCCUUCUAUUACAACUAACAGAAAUAAAGAAGAAGAAAAAUGAAGAAUUAUUAGUUAGAAUGUUUCUUUCAUGAAGAUACCUGAUGAACUUUUACUGUUUGGAAGAAUAGAAGCAAGGUUAGUCAGAUAUUUUUACUCAGAAGAAGAAGAAGAUAAAGCAGUUUUAUGACUCGACAAGCCAGAGAUUGGUGUUUCCCCUCUGCGCUUCUAUUGACUACGUUGUUUACUCUCAUGGGAUAGCUGGUUCGGCACCAUGGAGAGAGAUUGGUGGGCAUUGUGGUUGCCCCCAGAAGAAAAGAAGAGUAGAAGAGGUUAUGGGUGGGUCAUGUGAACUGACCUUCAACCCAGUUACUUCGUGGGGACUAUUUGCUGUAUAGAGAAGAUCAAGACUCAAGAGUUAGGGAAAAUCAUUGGAGGUCAUGUUUCCCUUCCUUAAGUUUUUCCUAUCAAAUUAUUUGCCUGAUUAGAUUAUGCUAAGGGUGGGAUACUUUAUGUUAGCAGUUGAAUUAAUUAAUUUUAUUUUUUUGUGUGUUUGCAUCCUUGCCCAUCGAUUGCAGUUUAGUAGUUAGUUUUGUAUUUGUCAGGCGUGAUGGUAAUGCCUGUUGAUGAUGUUUCAGAAUUGUAAUCUGUUCGUGAUGAGGAUGGCACAACUCCGAAGCAGAUGUGGGGAGAAGUUGUGAGCUGCCCUGGAAGCCAGUCCAGUAGCUGUUGGAGUUGAGUGGUGUUUGCUGAUGGCCAGCCCAGGGAGCUACUCUUCUCGACAACACUGACUUCGAGGAGUUGCACCAACCUUCACGAGAUAAGAGUUUAAUUAAUUGAAACACUGUAAGGACAAUUAAUUUUUUUUGAAGAACGAAAGAAGUAUGGUAAUAAACGGAAACCGAAAAAAAAAAAUAAUAAUAAUUAUCAAGAAUUUGCACAUUGUUUAACGAAUACUGAGAAACUAAGAACAGUAAUUUAAUUUGUAAAGAGAGCUUCACUAACAGAACAAUUUUUUUAGAAUUGAGAACUCGAGCCUCUGAAGGUUCCUGUGAGAACAAACCAGAUAAAAGUUUUACAUUUAAUUUUAUGAAUACUUGUUGUUUUAAAAUAAAUCUUAUGCAGAAUCUAGAUGUAUGUUCAGACAGCAAGGAACUAAGAAAAUUAUUAUUUUUGUGAAAUGAGGAAUUUAUAGUUAUGGUUUAAUGGAAAAAGACAAUUUGUAAUUUUGAGGUAGCUCGAUGGGGCUCGAGCUCUGUGAGGGGAGGGUUAUGUCGCGGGUUGAAAUUUUGCAGGGUUGUUGAAAUCAAAUUUAGGGACUUUACUGACGGGACUCUGGGCUGGCUGCUCUGUUCACUCGUCAGCGCAAGUGGCGUGACCAUGUAAUUGGGGCACGGGGCCGGCGCGGCGCGCUGCGGGCUUGCAGAAUUUUGUUUGUUUGUUUGGCCGCGCGCUGGCGCAGCCACGGGCCGCAGUUACUGGGGCGCGCUGUCGUAACAAGCCGCGCGGUGUGGCCUGCACAUUGGGGUAGAGGGGGGGUAGUCUUCCCAGGUGUUCUAGUUAGUUGUUUAGUAAAUUUGACUUCAAUAACGAGCUUUUGUUAUGGUAGGCGCGGCAGGGCGCGCGAAUUUAAGCGCAAGUGAGUGGUGACUCGGGGCUCACUCAGGCGGAGGCUAUGCGUCUCACCUGUGGUCACGAGUUGUUAGUUCGUUCGUGAUGUAGGAAUUCAAGCUUUCGGGCGGAAGCUAUGGUCGACGCCAGAGGCCACGAGUCGUUUAAUUUAAGUUAGGUCAUAAUGUAGUCGUCAAGCUUUCGGGCGGAGGCUAUGGCCCUCGUCAGGGGUCACGCGUCAUAGUUUUUAAAAUGUAAUGUUCGUUCGGGAUUUCAAGGGCAGGAGAGGCCCCUACGUUAUUUUUUUAAAGUAAUCGAUCAAGAAAGGCUUUUCGGAAAAUGUGAGUAUGGACUUAUCUUUGUUUUAAUUUUAAGUAUUAAUUAUGAUUUGAGGUAUUCGGAAGGACUAGGGAAGUGUUUAGUGAAGUUCUCUCAUUCUCUCUCUUGUAAGGUCGUUCAAUCGUUAAGGAAGUAAAGAGAUUAUUGUUUUAAAUUGUAAUCCCGCUAUUUAAAUGUUCUUUAAAAUGAUGUUGAGUAUUUGACUUUAAGAAUAAAAUAAUUUUAAUUA